rnacentral:rRNA from 1 species
CCUCAAGGCUCAACCUUGAGAUCGCUGGAGAUACUGUUAGGCUAGGGGGCGGGAGAGGUUGAGGGUACUUCGCGGGUAGGGGCGAAAUCCUAUAAUCCGCGAAGGACCACCAGUGGCGAAGGCGCUCAACUGGAACGCGCCCGACGGUGAGGGACGAAAGCCAGGGGAGCAAAGGGGAUUAGAUACCCCCGUAGUCCUGGCUGUAAACGAUGCGGGCUAGGUGUUGGGUUGGCUUCGUGCCAACCCGGUGCCGCAGUGAAGACGAUAAGCCCGCCGCCUGGGAAGUACGGCUGCAAGGCUGAAACUUAAAGGAAUUGGCGGGGGAGCACCACAAGGGGUGAAGCCUGCGGUUUAAUUGGAGUCAACGCCGGGAAUCUUACCG